rnacentral:tRNA from 1 species
GCCUAGAUGGCUCAGUUGGUUGGGUGGCUGACUUCGGCUCAGGUCAUGAUCUCGCAGUUUGUGGGUUCGAGCCCCACGUUGGGCU